GACGAACGCUGGCGGCGUGCCUAAUACAUGCAAGUUGAGCGCUGAAGGUUGGUACUUGUACCAACUGGAUGAGCAGCGAACGGGUGAGUAACGCGUGGGGAAUCUGCCUUUGAGCGGGGGACAACAUUUGGAAACGAAUGCUAAUACCGCAUAAAAACUUUAAACACAAGUUUUAAGUUUGAAAGAUGCAAUUGCAUCACUCAAAGAUGAUCCCGCGUUGUAUUAGCUAGUUGGUGAGGUAAAGGCUCACCAAGGCGAUGAUACACAGCCGACCUGAGAGGGUGAUCGGCCACAUUGGGACUGGGACACGGCCCAAACUCCUACGGGAGGCAGCAGUAGGGAAUCUUCGGCAAUGGACGAAAGUCUGACCGAGCAACGCCGCGUGAGUGAAGAAGGUUUUCGGAUCGUAAAACUCUGUUGGUAGAGAAGAACGUUGGUGAGAGUGGAAAGCUCAUCAAGUGACGGUAACUACCCAGAAAGGGACGGCUAACUACGUG
rnacentral:rRNA from 1 species